rnacentral:misc_RNA from 1 species
GUGCAUUCUUUGUGGAUGUGAUUACUGUGAUAGCAUCCGAGGCAUAGGGCCCCAGACGGCUUUGAAGCUUGUACGCCAACAUGGGUCAAUGGAGAGCAUAUUAGAGAAUAUUAACAAAGAGAGAUAUCAAAUACCUGAUGAUUGGCCUUAUGAAGAGGCUAGGCGGCUCUUCAAGGAACCAUUAGUUGUUACAGAUGAUGAGCAAACUGAACUAAAAUGGGCUGCUCCUGAUGAAGAAGGGUUGGUUAACU